AUUGAACGCUGGCGGCAUGCUUUACACAUGCAAGUCGAACGGCAGCGGGUCCUUCGGGAUGCCGGUGAGUGGCGAACGGGUGAGUAAUGCAUCGGAACAUACCCAGUCGUGGGGGAUAACGUAGCGAAAGUUACGCUAAUACCGCAUACGUCCUGAGGGAGAAAGCGGGGGAUCUUCGGACCUCGCGCGAUUGGAGUGGCCGAUGUCAGAUUAGCUAGUUGGUGGGGUAAAGGCCCACCAAGGCGACGAUCUGUAGCGGGUCUGAGAGGAUGAUCCGCCCCACUGGGACUGAGACACGGCCCAGACUCCUACGGGAGGCAGCAGUGGGGAAUUUUGGACAAUGGGGGCAACCCUGAUCCAGCCAUGCCGCGUGCGGGAAGAAGGCCUUCAGGUUGUAAACCGCUUUCGGACGGAAAGAAAUCGCUUGGGUUAAUACCCUGAGUGGAUGACGGUACCGUAAGAAGAAGCACCGGCUAACUACGUGCCAGCAGCCGCGGUAA
rnacentral:rRNA from 1 species